AACGAACGCUGGCGGCAUGCCUAACACAUGCAAGUCGAACGAAGCCUUCGGGCUUAGUGGCGCACGGGUGCGUAACGCGUGGGAAUCUGCCCCUUGCUUCGGAAUAACAGUUAGAAAUGACUGCUAAUACCGGAUGAAGUCUUCGGACCAAAGAUUUAUCGGCAAGGGAUGAGCCCGCGUAGGAUUAGGUAGUUGGUGGGGUAAGGGCCUACCAAGCCGACGAUCCUUAGCUGGUCUGAGAGGAUGAUCAGCCACACUGGGACUGAGACACGGCCCAGACUCCUACGGGAGGCAGCAGUGGGGAAUAUUGGACAAUGGACGCAAGUCUGAUCCAGCAAUGCCGCGUGAGUGAUGAAGGCCUUAGGGUUGUAAAGCUCUUUUACCAGGGAUGAUAAUGACAGUACCUGGAGAAUAAGCUCCGGCUAACUCCGUG
rnacentral:rRNA from 1 species